rnacentral:misc_RNA from 1 species
GUUCAAACUUAUAGGAACCUAAUACAUAGUCACAAACAAUCCUCAUAACAAAAGCAAGUAUACACCAAAGCAAUCAACAUUCAACAAUCAGAUUCUUUUUUCACUUAUUUUCAUAGAUACUCGUUUCAUGUUCUUCUGUUUAUCUCAUUGGCAAGUUUCAUUAUUUAGUAGAUCAAUUUGCUAAUGUAGUGAUGUAUAAUAUGUUGAUAGUUUACUGUUGGUUGUUAAUUGCAGAAACUCCCAACAAGUUCCCAUAAUUUUUCUCUUGUAAUUGCAGUAAUCAAU